AUAACAGCACUUUGGAGGCUGAGGCAGGAGGAUUGCUUGAGGCCAGGAGUUUGAGACCAGUUUGGGCAAUACAGAGAGACCCUGUCUCUACAAAAAAAAAUUAAAAAUUAGCCAGGCACGGUGGCACGCGCUUGUAGUCACAGCUACUCAGAGGGCUGAGGUGGGAGGAUAGCUUGGGCCCAGGAGGUUGAGGCUGCAGUGAGCCAUGAUUGCUCCACUACACACCAGCCUAGGCGACAGAGCGAGACCUUGUCUCAAAAGAUAAAAGUAAAAAUAAAAGUAUCACUUGGAGUUAUUGGUUAAUUUGAAAGGGACUUUAGGGAGAAAUGUACCUGGCUUCUAGAGUCCUAGUGCACAGCCAGCUUUCUUGUGGAUGCCUGUCCUGAGGUCUGCUGGGCUGGCGCUCGUUCAUAGGCGUCACAUGGAUCUGGGCUUUUCUGACCUCCACCGGGGCUUUAGUCUUUCCAGCCCAUGAUCAGAGUGUUACAUCUAUCUUCACAGGCUUAUUCAUGGUCCCAGGAUUUUGUCGUAACUUAAGUCUUUGAGAAUGAAGAGAGCUCAUCUUUGGGAUGUUUUGGUAUGAUCUGGUUGCCCUGAGACCACAGCUGCAUUGACCUGGAAUACAGUCAGCUUUAUGUAAGAAAAACCCAGCUGCAGUGGCUUAACCAAAUAGGAAUGAAUUUUUCUGCAAAGACAAGAGUCAGGGUUUUCAAAUUGCAUAAAUGGUGGCUCCUCGGGUCUCCAGGGACCCGGUCUCCUCCUGUCUGUUCAUCCUCCAGUUGCUUCAUUGCGGCAGAGUGUUCGUUCUAUCUCUAGGUAUCUGGAAAUUUCUGGACCCAUUACCAAGGAUUCUCACAGGAUAGGUCCGGAUGGAACCCAGGAAACUGCAUUUCAACUGGGUAAUCUAGGUGCUUCUGAUGUGUGUUGUCUGAGAAAAAGUGCCCUAAGUGUAAACUCUGUUAACAUAAGGCAGCAAAACACAGUGGUUAAGAGCCUUGACUCCAGAGCAGCCCAUCUGACUCUGCCACUGGCUGUGUAAUCUUGGACAAGUUUCUUAACCACUCUAGGGCUUUGCUUCCUCAUUUUUAAAGUGAGGGUGAUAAUAGCACUGACUUUAUAGGGUUAUACCAAGUAUUAAAUGUAUUAAUAC
rnacentral:lncRNA from 1 species